GACGAACGCUGGCGGCGUGCCUAAUACAUGCAAGUUGAGCGCUGAAGGUUGGUACUUGUACCGACUGGAUGAGCAGCGAACGGGUGAGUAACGCGUGGGGAAUCUGCCUUUGAGCGGGGGACAACAUUUGGAAACGAAUGCUAAUACCGCAUAAAAACUUUAAACACAAGUUUUAAGUUUGAAAGAUGCAAUUGCAUUACUCAAAGAUGAUCCCGCGUUGUAUUAGCUAGUUGGUGAGGUAAAGGCUCACCAAGGCGAUGAUACAUAAGCGACCUGAGAGGGUUAUCGGCCACAUUGGGACUGAGACACGGCCCAAACUCCUACGGGAGGCAGCAGUAGGGAAGCUUCGGCAAUGGACGAAAGUCUGACCGAGCAACGCCGCGUGAGUGAAGGAGGUUUUCGGAUCGUAAAACUCUGUUGGUAGGGAAGAACGUUGGUGAGAGUGGAAAGCUCAUCAAGUGACGGUAACUACCCAGAAAGGGACGGCUAACUACGUG
rnacentral:rRNA from 1 species